UGAACGCUGGCGGCAUGCCUUACACAUGCAAGUCGAACGGCAGCGCGGACUUCGGUCUGGCGGCGAGUGGCGAACGGGUGAGUAAUGUAUCGGAACGUGCCCUAGAGUGGGGGAUAACGUAGCGAAAGUUACGCUAAUACCGCAUACGAUCUAUGGAUGAAAGUGGGGGACCGUAAGGCCUCACGCUCACGGAGCGGCCGAUAUCUGAUUAGCUAGUUGGUAGGGUAAAAGCCUACCAAGGCGACGAUCAGUAGCUGGUCUGAGAGGACGACCAGCCACACUGGGACUGAGACACGGCCCAGACUCCUACGGGAGGCAGCAGUGGGGAAUUUUGGACAAUGGGGGCAACCCUGAUCCAGCAAUGCCGCGUGUGUGAAGAAGGCCUCGGUUGUAAGCACUUUGUCAGACGAACGUAGGGCGUAUAUCUCUGCUAAUGACGGUACCGUCGAAGAAUAAGCACCGGCGUAACUACGUGCCAGCAGC
rnacentral:rRNA from 1 species